CGGUAAUUCCAGCUCCAAUAGCGUAUACUAAAGUUGUUGCAGUUAAAAAGCUCGUAGUUGGAUUUCUGCUUGAGAGGGACGGCAGGCGUCAUUGACGUUUAGUCUGACUUCUCGUGCAUCCUGUCACGAACCACGUUGCUCUUAAUUGAGUGGCGUCGGGGAUUGACUCGUUUACUUUGAGAAAAAUAGAGUGUUCAAAGCAGGCUUACGCAUCUGAAUAAGUUAGCAUGGAAUAAUGAUAAAGGACUUCGGUUCUAUUUGUUGGUGUUCGGAACUGAAGUAAUGAUUGAUAGGGACAGUUGGGGGCAUCAGUAUUCCGAAGCGAGAGGUGAAAUUCUAGGACCUUCGGAAGACUAACCGCUGCGAAAGCGUUUGCCAAGGAUGUUCCCUUUGAUCAAGAACGAAAGUUGGGGGAUCGAAGACGAUCAGAUACCGUCGUAGUCUCAACUAUAAACUAUACCAGCUAGGGAUCGGCCGGCGUUUAUUUCUAAGGGCCCGGUCGGCACCUUAUGAGAAAUCAAAGCAUUUGGGUUCCGGGGGGAGUAUGGUCGCAAGGCUGAAACUUAAAGGAAUUGACGGAAGGGCACCACCAGGUGUGGAGCCUGUGGCUUAAUUUGACUCAACACGGGAAAUCUUACCAGGUCCAGACAUAGUAAGGAUUGACAGAUUGAGAGCUCUUUCUUGAUUCUAUGGGUGGUGGUGCAUGGCCGUUCUUAGUUGGUGGAGUGAUUUGUCUGGUUAAUUCCGUUAACGAACGAGACCCCAGCCUGCUAAAUAGCGCGCGUGUGCUUUUGCACGCGGUGAGCUUCUUAGAGGGACCAUGGCUCGCAACACAGACCAGGGAAGUUUGGGGCAAUAACAGGUCUGUGAUGCCCUUAGAUGUUCUGGGCCGCACACGGGCUACACUGAUGCGUGCAACGAGCAUAUCAGCUGGCUAGAAAUAGUCUUUGGCUAACCUUUUGAACUCGCAUCGUGCUAGGGAUUGACUAUUGCAAUUGUUAGUCAUGCAACGAGGAAUACCUUGUAAACGCGAGUCAUCAACUCGCAUUGAAUACGUCCCUGCCCUUUGUACACACCGCCCGUCGCUCCUACCGAUGAAUGUUCCGAUGAAAUUUUCGGAGGGGUCCGAUGACCCGGGUUUUGCCUGGCGAUCUGGUAUCGCGAAGUUGCUUAAAUCUGAACAUUUCGAGGAAGGAGAAGUCGUAACAAGGUAACC
rnacentral:rRNA from 1 species